rnacentral:rRNA from 1 species
GAUGAACGCUAGCGGCAGGCUUAACACAUGCAAGUCGAGGGGCAGCAUGAGGGUUAGCAAUAACCCUUGAUGGCGACCGGCGCAAGGGUGCGUAACGCGUGAGCAACUUGCCCGUUUCAGGGGGAUAACCGGUGGAAACGCCGACUAAUACCCCAUAGUAUUGAUUUAAGGCAUCUUUUAUCAAUUAAAGAAUUUCGGAAACGGAUAGGCUCGCGUGACAUUAGCUGGAUGGCGGGGUAACGGCCCACCAUGGCGACGAUGUCUAGGGGUUCUGAGAGGAAGGUCCCCCACACUGGAACUGAGACACGGUCCAGACUCCUACGGGAGGCAGCAGUGAGGAAUAUUGGUCAAAUGGUCGGAAGACUGAACCAGCCAAGUAGCGUGAAGGAUGACUGCCCUACGGGUUGUAAACUUCUUUUGUUUGGGGAAUAAAAAAGACGCUACGUGUAGCGUUCUGCAUGUACCUUACGAAUAAGCAUCGGCUAAAUUCCGUG